CACGGUCCUAACGAAGCAGAAGCGGGAGAGAAAAGCAUAAAUCCCUGUGGGGCCACACUUAAUCCAUUUUAUUUUGGUUUCUACAGGAAACAAAGCAUAAGUUACUGGCUUCUUUACCCACCAGCCCGCUCUGAUACCUUGGAAAUCCGUUUUGAUAGCAGGACAGACGUCUCAAAGUUAUUUAUCAUAUCAAUGAUUUGAAGAUCCUCUUGCAGAGCCAAACUCUGGCCAAAGCUCUUAACUCUCCAAUGAAAUUCAUCUGAGCUACACCAUGUGAGCACUCAACAGCUAUGAAAAAAUGAGCACUGCAUCAAGGACCUUUGGGGCAAAACCUUUGUACAAUGCUGGAAUGGGAUCUGAAGGGAUGUUUUUAACAACAGGAACAGGUAGAACAACCACUCACGUUGGUCUGCAGAGGUCAAUCGACAUUAGCCAUGUCAGAAACUCCUGGUUCAAAACAUCCUUCAAAUCUUCUGAACCUUCCAGAGAAGUAAAACUGCAAGAAAUGUGCCAUGCCAUAAAGACAGAGGAAAGGAAACCAUCCAAAUGUGUAUAUAACAAUCUUAUCUCCAUUGCAUCAAGUUCACAGGUAUAUUUUAUUUUCCUGGUCUUCUAAUACCUUUGACUUAGUGCAUUGCUUGCCACCUUGUCAAUCCUACCAACGUUUCCGUUUUUCUUUCCCUGCUCUUGGGAAAUGAGACUGUUCUGUACCAUUAGCAGUGUCAGUGGGGAGGAACUGGGGGAUGAGCUGACUCAAAGAAAGAAAGCCAGGAGGAUUUCUUUCUCUUCCUGGGUUGAGCAUGAUUCAAACCUCAAGCUCUUGUCUCAGUUCAUCUUUCUUCUUUGUUCACCACUUCCUAUCUCCACAGCCAAGAGGAUGCAUUUUCUUCUUAUUUUUCAGUACUGUGCAAUUCUUAACUAAAUUUAUUUGUAUAUAUAAAAAACUUUUAAAAUCUUAAAAGGGAGCCUUUCCUCCCUCUAUAAGCUGAAACAGCCACAUACAAAUCUCUGCCUAGAUCAAGGAUUAGUUAACUAAAAAGAUCUGAAUCCAUAUGACAUUUUCUUCAUCAUCUUUUCCUCCAGGCACCAGUUAGAUUUUUGACAAGGCUAGUCAUUUGCUUCUUAAGAGAAGUCCCUCUGCUGCCUCCUGGGCAGUGCAGUAGAGCCAUGGACUAGGAGAGACAGUUUGAAGGAAAGGACACUAUGCUCUCAGUAACUGUUUUUCUGUUCUGUAAAAUAGAAGUGCCAGUGAAGAAGAGUGAAUAAAGGUACAAUCUUCGUGGCUGGAGGUGUUCCCCUAAGUGUAGCAAAACAACAACACAACAGCAAAAAACAACAGAACCUAUUUUUGACAUGAUGAGAUCCUGCUACAGAACACUGCUUUGAUCUUGGUCAGUCUGGGAUAUCUAGCACUGAAUAUGUCUGUCAGGCUUAGGAGAAGAGAAGGAACAGUCCUGUAACACCCUCUGCCCUCCCCCCCCCCAUCCUCUCUUAAACCCAGCAGGCAUCAAACCAAAGGCAGAAUGAAACAGCAUCUAUGCCCCAAGCUCACAAAGGGAAGCCUUUGUUUCUGAGAAGGACUUUUUCACCCCACAUAUUGUGUUGUUUUUUUUUUUUGUUUUUUUUUUUAUUUGCAAUUAAGGAGAUUAGGGGAAACACUGCAUUUUUUUUUAAUAUUAUUAUUAAAUGACGCUAAUCAAGCAGAUUAAUCUUUAGCACCAAAAGUGUGUGUCAUUCCCCCUCCCUUUCCCUCCCCUCCACUCCUAUGUGAGAACAGGUUAGAAAAAUAUCUGUCAGGAGUAGUUUAGAGCAAGCUGAUCCUGUCUUCUAGGAGAGGUCAGACUAAAUGACCUUUCGAGAUCCAACAAAGCCCUUGUUUCUUUGGUUCUGCAUUUUCACUAUGACUAGCAAUUCUCAAUGUCUGAUUUUCUGGGUGCUUGGCCUUAACACCUCUGUGAAGCAUAACAGUGCUCGUUUCCCCCAAGCCUGGGUCAUCCCCCGCACCCUUGUUUCUAAAGCAGUUUUCAUUCAAAGGCUGUAAAAGACAACAAAUGCCCUGAGAUUCUUGUUCUGAGUGACUGUCCCAUGACUCCCUGUAAGUUAGAGGUUUCAUUCUUUUAUCAAAAGACGCUAGAAUUGUGCCUGAAGGAUGUGAGCUAUGUGCAGUAAGUGCCUGUUUUCCUUCCUGACACAGUUUUGGUACUAAGCAGCAGCAACCUGUUAGGCUUUGUAAAAUCCCCUUCAUGUUAAAGAAAGGAAAUGUUUCCAUCAUUUGUUGGCUUUAAAAAAAAAAAAUAAAUAAAAAUAGAAAUUGCUUGAGAA